rnacentral:rRNA from 1 species
UACGGGAGGCAGCAGGGGGGAAUAUUGCACAAUGGGCGCAAGCCUGAUGCAGCCAUGCCGCGUGUAUGAAGAAGGCCUUCGGGUUGUAAAGUACUUUCAGUCGUGAGGAAGGUGUUAAGGUUAAUAACCUUAGCAAUUGACGUUAGCGACAGAAGAAGCACCGGCUAACUCCGUGCCAGCAGCCGCGGUAAUACGGAGGGUGCGAGCGUUAAUCGGAAUUACUGGGCGUAAAGGGCACGCAGGCGGUUAAUUAAGUUGGAUGUGAAAUCCCCGGGCUUAACCUGGGAAUGGCAUUCAAGACUGGUUAGCUAGAGUCUUGUAGAGGGGGUAGAAUUCCAUGUGUAGCGGUGAAAUGCGUAGAGAUGUGGAGGAAUACCGGUGCGAAGGCGGCCCCUGGACAAAGACUGACGCUCAUGUGCGAAAGCGUGGGGAGCAAACG